GAGAUUCGGUGGCGCACCCUCCUCCCCUCCCCCCGGCUCUGCUCACUACCGACAGGGAACUGAAGUCCCGUCCUAGGGCGCCCCGAGGGCGUGUGCGUCCGGGGAGGGGAUGAGGUAACGCUGGUCUGCGUGUGAACGAGGGAUGUCACACGCUGCGCGGCGCAUCUCAUCAGGACCACGGGAUCGCCCCGCUGGACACGCGCUCGCGCCCUGCGGUCCCCGUGGGCUCCCCGCUCCGGCCCGGGGCGUCCCCGCUUCCCGAGCUCUCUGGGCCCCGCCCUCCGCGGCUCAGCCUGCGGGGGCCGGGCCGGAACUGCGUAGUUGCUGGUGCUCCAGCCCUUCCCGGUCGGUGCGGCCAUGGGCUCCGCGCUCCCGGCCCUCCUCCUGCUCGUGUUCCUGGGCCUGUGGCCAGAGCCAGGCAAUGGGCAAGAUGACAGCAUGGUCCAGCUACCAGGUGGGACAUUCCAGAUGGGGACAAAUUCCCCAGAUGGCAAAGACGGGGAAGGGCCUACUCGGGAAGUAACAGUGAAGUCCUUUGCCAUUGACAAAUACCCUGUCACCAACAGAGAUUUCAGGGAGUUUGUCAGGCAGAAGAAGUACCAGACGGAAGCUGAAUCAUUUGGGUGGAGUUUUGUCUUUGAAGACUUAGUAUCUGAUGAGCUGAAAAAGAAAGUUACCCAGAAGCUGGAGUCUGCACCCUGGUGGCUCCCCGUGGAGAAAGCGUUCUGGAGGCAGCCUGCAGGUCCAGGCUCUGGCAUCCGAGAGCGCUUAGACUUCCCUGUGCUGCAUGUGAGCUGGAAUGAUGCCCGAGCUUUCUGUGCCUGGCGAGGCAAGCGGCUGCCUACCGAAGAGGAGUGGGAGUUUGCUGCCCGGGGAGGGCUAAAGGGUCGAGUGUAUCCCUGGGGGAACCAGUUCCAGCUGAACCGCACCAACCUAUGGCAGGGCAAGUUUCCCCAGGCUGAUACAGCUGAGGACGGUUUCCAUGGAGCCUCACCUGUAGAUGCUUUCCCUCCCCAAAACAACUAUGGACUCUAUGAUCUCAUGGGCAAUGUGUGGGAGUGGACGGCAUCCACAUAUAAACCUUCCAUACCUGGCCAAGACAGGAAAGUUCUGAGGGGAGCAUCCUGGAUUGACACAGCAGAAGGCUCAGCCAACCACCGGGCCCGAGUCACCACAAGAUAAGGAGAUUGAGACCCCAGGAAACCAAGGGGAUCCCAAGGACAGAUAAACAGUGAGCAGCACAAGUGGCUCCCAGGUCUUCUGACCUGGCAUGACUUGUACAAAGUCACAUGGAUGGGCAACACUCCAGACUCUGCCUCAGACAAUCUGGGAUUCCGUUGUGCGGCUAGCCCAGGCCGGCCUCCUGGGGAACUAUGACCAGAGAUCAAGAAACAAGGAGAACAAUCCCCUACAACCCUGCCCCCUGGCCAGCCAAUGCCUUAUCAACAAAACAUCGGGCCUAGAGAAGGGAUAGCUGGAGUGACUCCAAACUCUACCCUGACCACAUAAGUCAUUCUGCCUGUCUCAAUCCCCAUUCCCCAGUCCCCACUGAGUCCCACUGUGCUGAGGACUCUAAUGCUAAGAAUGACCAGGACCUACAAGACUAGGCCCAUCCCCAACUCAGGGAACCAAAAUCCUCAGUAUUAAUUGUAGUUUAAGUAUGACAAACACAUGUUCCUGCACAUUAAAUGGAAAAACAAAGCUUGUAGCUAA